UUGGAGGGCAAGUCUGGUGCCAGCAGCCGCGGUAAUUCCAGCUCCAAUAGCGUAUAUUAAAGUUGUUGCAGUUAAAAAGCUCGUAGUUGAAUUUCGGGAUCAAUAUAUCGGUCGUGCCAUCGGUACGUACUGGUAUGAUUGGUUUCUCCUUUCUGACGAACCAUGAUGUCAUUAAUUUGGUGUUAUGGGAAGUUAGGACUGUUACUUUGAAAAAAUUAGAGUGUUUAAAGCAGGCUUUAGCUUGAAUACAUUAGCAUGGAAUAAUGAAAUAGGACGUUCGAACCUAUUUUGUUGGUUUCUAGGAUCAACGUAAUGAUUAAUAGGGAUAGUUGGGGGCAUUAGUAUUCAAUUGUCAGAGGUGAAAUUCUUGGAUUUAUUGAAGACUAACUACUGCGAAAGCAUUUGCCAAGGAUGUUUUCAUUAAUCAAGAACGAAAGUUAGGGGAUCGAAGACGAUCAGAUACCGUCGUAGUCUUAACCAUAAACUAUGCCGACUAGGGAUCGGAUGAUGUUAAUUUUUUAAUGACUCAUUCGGCGCCUUACGGGAAAC
rnacentral:rRNA from 1 species